GACUGCUAUCGGAGUGAGAUUAAGCCAUGCGAGUCUAAUGCCUCUAGACUGCUGGAGGCAUGGCGUACGGCUCAGUAGCACGUGGCCAACCUGCCCUUAAGACAUGAAUAACCCGGGAAACUGGGACUAAAUCGUGGUAGGCGCGGAUCUCUGGAAUUGAAUCCGUGCUUAAAGGGGUGAAUGAGCAUGUUUUGUUCAUCUGCUUAAGGAUGGGGCUACGGCCGAUCAGGCUGUUGGCGGGGUAACGGCCCACCAAACCUUUGACAGGUACGGGCUUUGAGAGAAGGAGCCCGGAGAUGGACACUGAGAUAAGGGUCCAGGCCCUAUGGGGCGCAGCAGGCGCGAAACCUCCACAAUGAGCGAAAGCUUGAUGGGGUUACUCCGAGUGUCGUCCGCUAAGGAUGACUUUUCUUAAGUCUAAAUCGCUUGAGGAAUAAGGGGAGGGCAAGUCUGGUGUCAGCCGCCGCGGUAAUACCAGCUCCCCGAGUGGUCGGGACGGUUAUUUGGCCUAAAGCAUCCGUAGCCCGUCCUGCAAGUCUUCCGUUAAAUCUAACGGCUCAACCGUUAGGCUGCGAAAGAUACCGCAGGACUAGGGGACGGGAGAGGCGGACGGUACUCCGGGGGUAGGGGUAAAAUCCUCUGAUCCUCGGAAGACCACCAGCGGCGAAGGCGGUCCGCCAGAACGUGCCCGACGGUGAGGGAUGAAAGCUGGGGGAGCGAACCGGAUUAGAUACCCGGGUAGUCCCAGCCGUAAACGAUGCGAGCUAGGUGACAGAAUGGCCUAAGGGCCAUUCUGCUGCCGCAGGGAAGCCGUUAAGCUCGCCGCCUGGGGAGUACGGACGCAAGUCUGAAACUUAAAGGAAUUGGCGGGGGAGCACCACAAGGGGUGAAGCCUGCGGUUCAAUUGGAGUCAACGCCGGAAAUCUUACCAGGGGAGACAGCAGAAUGAAGGUCAAGCUGAAGACCUUACCAGACGAGCUGAGAGGAGGUGCAUGGCCGUCGCCAGCUCGUGCCGUGAGGUGUCCUGUUAAGUCAGGCAACGAGCGAGACCCUUGCCACUAGUUGCUAUUCUUACUCGCAAGGGAAAGGAAGGAAGUUAGUGGGACUGCCGCCGUUCAAGGCGGAGGAAGGGGAGGGCUACGGCAGGUCAGUAUGCCCCGAACCCCUGGGCCACACGCGGGCUGCAAUGGUAGGGACAGAGGGCAUCCAACUCCGAAAGGAGAAGGCAAACCCUAAACCCUAUCCCAGUUGUGAUUGAGGGUUGCAACCCACCCUCAUGAAUAUGGAAUCCCUAGUAACCGCGUGUCACUACCGCGCGGUGAGUACGUCCCUGCUCCUUGCACACACCGCCCGUCGCUUCACCCGAGUUAGGCUUUGAUGAGGUCGCUUCAUGUUGGGGUUAUCGAACCACAGCCUGACAAGGGGGGAG
rnacentral:rRNA from 1 species